GUACACUCCUGCGGGAGGCAGCAGUGGGGAAUUUUGGACAAUGGGCGAAAGCCUGAUCCAGCAAUGCCGCGUGAGUGAAGAAGGCCUUCGGGUUGUAAAGCUCUUUUGUCAGGGAAGAAACGGUGAAAGCUAAUAUCUUUUGCUAAUGACGGUACCUGAAGAAUAAGCACCGGCUAACUACGUGCCAGCAGCCGCGGUAAUACGUAGGGUGCAAGCGUUAAUCGGAAUUACUGGGCGUAAAGCGUGCGCAGGCGGUUUUGUAAGUCUGAUGUGAAAUCCCCGGGCUCAACCUGGGAAUUGCAUUGGAGACUGCAAGGCUAGAAUCUGGCAGAGGGGGGUAGAAUUCCACGUGUAGCAGUGAAAUGCGUAGAUAUGUGGAGGAACACCGAUGGCGAAGGCAGCCCCCUGGGUCAAGAUUGACGCUCAUGCACGAAAGCGUGGGGAGCAAACAGGAUUAGAAACCCUGGUAGUCCCAUG
rnacentral:rRNA from 1 species